AAGUCGUAACAAGGUUUCCGUAGGUGAACCUGCGGAAGGAUCAUUAAAAAAAGGGUCGCAAGACCUAUUUUUAAACACUAUCGCCGCCUAUCAUCUAUGGGUAGGAUACUCUUAUCUAUGGGUGAGAUGGAGGAGGUAGGGUUUUUUAAAAUCCAAUUAUUAUAAAAUAUAUAUCGUCUAAUGACGAACCAAAAAAAAUUAUUAAAACUUUCAACAAUGGAUCUCUUGGCUCUC
rnacentral:misc_RNA from 1 species